GUGGGGAAUAUUGCGCAAUGGGCGAAAGCCUGACGCAGCGACGCCGCGUGGGUGAUGAAGGUCUUCGGAUCGUAAAGCCCUGUGGGAGAGGGAAGAAUAGCUUUCGGGAACAAUACCCCGGAGGUUUGACGGUACUUCUCCAGAAAGCACCGGCUAACUCCGUGCCAGCAGCCGCGGUAAUACGGAGGGUGCUAACGUUGUUCGGAAUUACUGGGCGUAAAGCGCAUGUAGGCGGCUUGGCAAGUCAGGUGUGAAAUCCCUCGGCUCAACCGAGGAAGUGCACUUGAAACUGCUUGGCUAGAGUACGGGAGAGGGUAGUAGAAUUCCCGGUGUAGAGGUGAAAUUCGUAGAUAUCGGGAGGAAUACCGGUGGCGAAGGCGGCUACCUGGACCGAUACUGACGCUCAGAUGCGAAAGCGUGGGGAGCAAACAGGAUUAGAAACCCGAGUAGUCC
rnacentral:rRNA from 1 species